GCCAGGCACAGUGGCGUGUGCCUGUAAUCCCAGCUACUCAGGAGGCUGAGGCAGGAGAAUCGCUUGAACCCAGGAGGCAGAGGUUGCAGUGAGCCGAGAUUGUGCCACUGCACUCCAGCCUGGGUGACAGAGCGAGACUCCAUCUCAA
rnacentral:SRP_RNA from 2 species